rnacentral:rRNA from 1 species
AAAUUGAAGAGUUUGAUCAUGGCUCAGAUUGAACGCUGGCGGCAGGCCUAACACAUGCAAGUCGAACGGUAACAGGAAGCAGCUUGCUGUUUCGCUGACGAGUGGCGGACGGGUGAGUAAUGUCUGGGAAACAGCCUGAUGGAGGGGGAUAACUACUGGAAACGGUAGCUAAUACCGCAUAACGUCGCAAGACCAAAGAGGGGGACCUUCGGGCCUCUUGCCAUCGGAUGUGCCCAGAUGGGAUUAGCUAGUAGGUGGGGUAACGGCUCACCUAGGCGACGAUCCCUAGCUGGUCUGAGAGGAUGACCAGCCACACUGGAACUGAGACACGGUCCAGACUCCUACGGGAGGCAGCAGUGGGGAAUAUUGCACAAUGGGCGCAAGCCUGAUGCAGCCAUGCCGCGUGUAUGAAGAAGGCCUUCGGGUUGUAAAGUACUUUCAGCGGGGA